GACAGAGGAGGCAAGCGUUGUUCGGAUUUAUUGGGUGUAAAGGGCAGGUAGGUGGCCUAGCAAGUCUGAUGUGAAAUCCCAGGGCUCAACCCUGGAACUGCAUUGGAAACUGCUUGGCUUGAGUACCGGAGAGGUAAGGGGAAUUCUCGGUGUAAGGGUGAAAUCUGUAGAUAUCGAGAGGAACACCAGUGGCGAAGGCGCCUUACUGGCCCGGUACUGACGCUGAGGUGCGAAAGCGUGGGGAGCAAACAGG
rnacentral:rRNA from 1 species